rnacentral:rRNA from 1 species
UCAGACGAUGCGUCAUGUAUAUCAAUAAGCGGAGGAAAAGAAACUAACAAGGAUUCCCUUAGUAACGGCGAGUGAAGCGGGAAGAGCUCAAAUUUGAAAUCUUCAAGGUUUUACCUUGACGAAUUGUAGUUUAAAGAAGUGUUUUCUGCUGAAGUUUUGGUAAAAGUUCUUUGGAAUAGGACAUCAUAGAGGGUGAGAAUCCCGUAUUUGACCAUUAUUUUCAGCUUUGUGAUACACUUUCAAAGAGUCGGAUUGUUUGGGAAUGCAGUCCAAAAUGGGUGGUAAAUUUCAUCUAAAGCUAAAUAUUGGCGAGAGACCGAUAGCGAACAAGUACCGUGAGGGAAAGAUGAAAAGAACUUUGAAAAGAGAGUUAAACAGUACGUGAAAUUGUCAAAAGGGAAGCGUUUGACACCAGUGUUGUUUUCUCGAAAAUCAAUUAAAAAUGGCUCGAUUUUGUAUUGUUUGAGACCUUAAAAGCUCACUGUACAUUUUUCGUGUCUUUUUUAAUGCACUUUUCGUUUAACAAGUCAACAUCAGUUUCUUUUGUUGUAAAAGGGUCAUUGGAAGGUGGCUUUCUUUUCGGAGAAAGUGUUUAUAGCCUUUGGCCUCUGCAAUCGGAGAGACUGAGGUCUGCAGCGUAGACUCUUCGGGGUUAGAUACAUUUGUGCUAAGUUAUAGCUUUUUAUAGACAACUUGUUGACUAUAAUUAGUCUUGUAGCUUACUCGCUUAUGCUAUUUUACCUACGCUUAGGAUGUUGACUGAUAUGUAGUCGUA